rnacentral:lncRNA from 1 species
GUCACACCAGGGACUUGUAAAGCCAAAAGUACUGCUCUUCUAGGGAGUUCAAAAUACUGCCAUUCGGAUAAAGGUACCUUUUUGGCAUAUUGCAAAGAAUUUCAAAAAUUUAAUUUUAAUUACAUUUCUUUUGUGGAGAGCAGUCUUAGGACUUGGUCUUUUGGGACAGCUGCUGUUUCUCAAACCGUAGAAAACAAUUUUUAAGAUCCUCUUCUAUGAUCUUUUAUUGUAUAUUAAUAGCGACUUCCAUUUGUUCAAAGCACGUUUUUGUGUAUGUAUCAUGUGGUAGCCAUCGCUCUAGGCAUGGGGUAUAUAGUCAUAAACUAAAAGAGCAAUCAUCCCUGUCCUCAUGGAGACAGAUAAUAAAUUCACGUGCAAAUCAUUUUAUGCUGUUACCAAAUAAACUGCUCCCUCACCCGUGUACCAA